AUUCUCGUAUCCCUUGGACUCCCCGAUCCUUGUAUUCUAUCUGCUGCCUUCUAAAGUCUUUUGAGAUGUAGCCUCUCCUACAGCCCUGUGGCACAGCGAUGCCCAUCAGUGCUGUGGCAUUGCAUUACGCUCAUCCUUAGAGUGUUCUCGACCUACAGGGGCAUGGCCAUUCCCAUUUGCAAAGUGAUGCCCCGACACCCAGAGGGGAGGGCGAAUGGGAGGAAAGAAGCAAGGAAGAAAUUUCUGCUGGAGAGCCCCUGCAAGCCAGGCCCUUUGUCUCAUGGAAGCCACACGAGGGAGGCACGAACCCCACUUUACAGAGCAGGGAACCGAGGCUCUGAGGCGAACUCAGACUUGCUUUAGGUAAUGGGGAGGGGAAAGGAGGGACACAUUGAUGAAGCAUCCACUGUGGGCUAGGUGCGUUCACAUACAUGCCCUAUUUUGCCGUCGGACACACGCAGAAUAACACUCAAAGGGAGGUAUUUUUCUUCCUGUUUUCCAGAUGUGCAAAGCAACACUCGGAGAGCUGGGGUGGCUUAUCCCAGCAGGAGCGGCGCUGGAACCAGGCUUCCCUGGCCGGGAUAGAGCCCUGUCACCCACCCCCGACAGUCCUCAGGGCUCAGCACGCAUCCUUUCGGGGAGUGGAAAAGGAAACACUGGGCCCUUUUACAGGGUUUCCGUGUGCAUGACGGGGAGCCCCUGAGGAUGGCAGACCUGCCACGGAUGGGAGGAACGGUUUAUUUUCUCUGCGUGCCGCUCUGAAGCCUUUCAAAGGUGUGAAGUUCCGUGGCCUGCAAAGGCCCGCUCCGCUGGCUGCCCAGAGCGGGCCCUGCCCGGGCCCCAGCCCCCGCAGGCCCCAGCCUCUUCAUGUGCCGCCACGGGAACUCCCUCCGGCCCACCUGGCCCCUCACUCGCUGAAAAGCUGCAGAGUGACAGGCCAGAAACCCGACUCCCGUGUUUAUUCACCAAACACAGAGCCGGCCCUCUGGGCUCUCCUCCGCCAUCCAGACCCUCCGCUACCUCUGGGGAAGAGGGCUUUCCAGCCCACUCCUAGGCUCAGCAAACCUGGCACACUCACCUCCAGAGAAUGGCCACAAGGAGGAGCAUCCAAGCUGGCCCUGCAGCAAGAGAGAGUCUGGUUAGACACAAGGAAGAACUUCCUGCCCCUGAGGGGACAUUCGGCUCAGAAAAGAAGGGACCCUCUCGAAGAACUGAGCUCUGUUGGACCCCGGAAGACAGCAUGAGACACCGAAGGUGUGGGAAGGCCAAGCUGGAAUAAGCUCAGGGGCCGCCGCAAAGAAAAACGAGCUAAUUCCCUUCCUGUCUUCCGUUCGGAAAGCUGACCCAAGAAGGGCUUUUCAGCUGGUGCUGAGCUGGCUGCACUGGGCCCUUGAGGAGUAAAAGCGCUGGAAACCUGGCUCCGAGUAUCUGCCUUGACUGAGUGGCUCUGUGCGUUUUCAGGGCUGUCUUUGUGCCGCUCGGGGGAGCUCUCCAUCAGGGCCCGGGCUGGGGGGCUGAAUGGGAGAGAAGACUUGUUGGGGUUCAGGCGUGUGGUUGAGGACUGCAUUCAGCUUCUAAAUGCGCAGCGGGGAAACCUGAACCCAACGCUCUCUGACACGCUCCCCAGAAUAAAGACUUUGCUUCUUGCCUUCA
ensembl:lncRNA